rnacentral:lncRNA from 1 species
CACAGUCACUCUUCUACCCCCACACUCACACUCAUAGUCACACACCCAAUCACAGACACAGUCACCAACACACAGUCUCAAGGAAAGAGGUACACACCCAGAAAGUCUCAGAGACUCACCAGGUAUCACCAAAGUUCUCCCUCCCCCUUGAAUACGCAGAGCCAAAGAAAGAUGCAGACUUGUACAACCACAAAUAUACACACCUGGUCUCUCUCUCUCUCUCUCUCUCUCUCUCUCUCUCUCUCUCACACACACACACACACACACACACACACACACACAGAGUCACAAAGUCUCAACACAGACACAGAGUAAUACAUAGUCACACACAGAGAAAAACAGACACACACAGUUGCACACAGGCUCCCCCAGACACAGAACAAUGGGCACAUUGUCUGGGUUGGCAGCAGCUGGGAAGGAAGGAGCGGCAGUGUGGACGGGAGGAGUCCAUAGGGCUGCUGUAGGACACCCACCCCCAAGCAUACUAAGUCUCCUCCCUCUUCAAGAAGUUGGAUUCUACUGGGACCUGGAUUUUCUACGGGCUUGGGCUCCCAGGCACCUCCUCCCCAGCCUCCUGAUUGUCUGGUGGGAUGCAGUCCCCCCUCCACCAUGGACCAGGCUCUCUAGCCACUCAAGAUCUUUUAGCCCUGUUGCUCCUUCCUGCUUCUGGAAUCCUCUGAAAAAUGUGCCUCUCACCUCUACCAGGCAGCACCUGGAGAUUAGGAAUCCUGGGAUCCCAUCUUAACCUCUGACCCCACCCAACCCCUCC